rnacentral:rRNA from 1 species
UACGAAGGGGGCUAGCGUUGCUCGGAAUUACUGGGCGUAAAGGGCGCGUAGGCGGAUACUUAAGUUAGAGGUGAAAGCCCAGGGCUCAACCCUGGAACAGCCUUUAAUACUGGGUAUCUUGAGUUCGGGAGAGGUGAGUGGAACUGCGAGUGUAGAGGUGAAAUUCGUAGAUAUUCGCAAGAACACCAGUGGCGAAGGCGGCUCACUGGCCCGGUACUGACGCUGAGGUGCGAAAGCGUGGGGAGCAAACAGG